rnacentral:lncRNA from 1 species
CAUGAUCUUAUUUUGUUCAUUGCCUUCCUCUAUAAUAGAACUUAUAAUGGAAGUUUUCCCAGAAAAACAGGAAUUUUUAUUUUGUUCAACACUGUGUCUUAAGGAUCUAGCACAGUGCCUAUCAUACUAGGUGUUCAAGAAGUGUUUGCCAAGUGGAAUAUGUAAUGUGCUGCCAUAACUAAGACUGAUUUUCCAGCUUAGCGCUCAUCCUUUCAUAUUCAUUUAUUCACCUAAAAUACUUAAAAAGCCAGACAUUUUGUUAAGUACUGGGGAUACAAUGCAAGACAGGGGGUGAUUGUAACCCUCAUAUAAUUUACAUUCUAUGCAAAGGACAUACAACUGAAAUUAACCAAAGCUUUUCCAUCUAUUUUCUUUCUUCCAUGUCUUUAUUUCGUAUUUAAACUACUAGGCCCAUGUAAUAUUCCCUGCCUCAAGAAAGGGUGUGAUGACAGAAAACAGAGAAAAGCAGGUUCUUCUGAGUUCUAAAAAUCCUUAGGGAGUUCUGAGAUAUCUUAGGGAAGGAUUUGUGGUAUAGAUCAAAGAUUUGAAAGCCCUAUGAUGAGGAAGCCAGCCUUUCCUACUUCUGUCUGGGAAAUAAUUCCCCUGACUCUGGAAAUAAGAGAAAGAACAAUAUAGUUGGAGCCCAGAGAAAGGGUCCUGGGCCCCAUCUUCUAGGCAAAGUUUCUGGAAGCAGCAAAGCCCCAAUUAGGUUUUGUUUUGUUUUGGUACAGGGGACUGAAUUCAGGGGCAGUAAACCACUGAGCCACAUCCCCAGCCUUAUUUUGUAUUUUAUUUAGAGACAGGGUCUCAUUGAGUUGCUUAGUGCCUCGCUUUUGCUGAGGCUGGUUAUGAACUUGCCAUCCUCCUGUCUCAGGCCUGUAAUUCCGAACCGCUGGGAUUACAGGCUUCCACCACCGCACCGGGCUCCCAGUUAGUUUUGAGAGCAGAAGAAAGCCAUUGAAAGAAAGCUCAUGGUCCCCUUGGAAAGAUUGCAUGGUGUGUGUACACACAAUCAGACUUAGACAACUUCAGUGAGUUUCCUCCAGGAGUAGAUUGACUUCCAUGAACCCAAAGGAUCACAGGAGGAGCAGGAAGACUCCCUAGAUCUGAAUGAGAAUUUUUUUUUUCCAUUUAAUCCACAGGGCCUCUCAGUGGAAACCAGAUGAGACAAUUACAUCAGACAUCCAAGCCCCUAGUCCCUUGACACUAGAUAAGCCCUUGCUCUGUUUCGAAUGUUUGUGUACCUUCAAAAUUCAUGUGUUGAAAUAUAACCCUCAAAGUUAUGGUAUGAAGAGGUAGGGCCUUUCAGAAGUAAUUGGGACUAAGGACUUCACCUUCAUGAAUGGCACUAUGGCUUUUUUGAAAGAGGCUUGAGGGAAACCGUUGCCUCUUCUAUCUUGC